UACAACAUCACCAUGGUCAAGUGGACCACCAGCACCAAGGUCGCCGUGAACUGGUUGAGCUGGGUGCAGAACGUGUCCAUCCUCACCCUGUGCAUUGCCACUACGGGGGUCUGCACCAAGGGCAAUGUCCCAACCUGAGUGGGGAUCCACAUGUACUACCAGAACCACAUCAUGAACCUCUCCAGAGAGCUGGCACUGGACACCAUCAGUGACUGUGCUGGCACUGCUGCAGGCACACAGACCACCCACAGGAUGGACAGCUUGGAUCCCCACAACAGCAUCUCCAGCUCCUGGGGAUUCCAACCUCUCCUGCAGGCUCACUGCCCUGAGCAGACUGGAUGUCAGGCAGGGGGAAGCCUGUCUUUAAAGCACCGUGAUCAUGGGGCUGAUGGACUCUCAUGGCAUCCACAGGGGGGGUUCCAGGAACCAGGAGGUGAAGGUGGAUGUCUGAGGCCCGAGUCCCCAGGUCAGAGAGCAGAGGAGGUCCAGGCAGUGCCAGGAGUCAAGGUGAGUUGGUCCCCCUGAGUGUACACCAGGGACUCCCCAUCCCAGCACAGAGGGGACCCCAAAAGGCCCUAAUCACCCCACCAUGACAGCCCUGCAACCUCAAGCACUCUUGGCUGCACACUGGAAAGCCACCUUACAUCCUCCUUCAGAUAGCCAUGGGUCAGGAUGCUGAGGAGGAGCUCCUCUAUGAGGCCUGAGAGCACCCCAAGAAGAGGACACCUGUAAGUGGCCUGAGUCAGACUGCCCAGGGUGGGUUUCUCAUCCGAGGCUGCUCACAACCCCCUUUCCUGCAGCCCCAAGGUCCCCAUCUGUCCCCCUUCUUCACUCCUGUCUGCACUUUGACCCCAGUCAUCAUGCCUGGGAUGCAUGAGCUCCACCAGCCUGAGAGAUUCUUUCAGGAUCCAAGAGAGGAUAAGGGCCUGA